rnacentral:lncRNA from 1 species
AUUUUUUAACUAUACCAUUAGAGCCUCAACAUUUCAAGUAAACCAUUAUAGAAAGAGUAUAAAACCAAUUUGUUUACAAAUUUCACAUUGUGAUGAAUAGGCAUAAACGUGAUCAAUAGAUAGAGAGAAAGAACAUUCACUGUGAUUCUUUGGGACUCUGAGAAAACCAGAGCAAAAGAGUACUACAAAUCAAGUUAAUCCUCUGUGAGUGCAAGUUCAAGAGAGCGGCACCAGUUUUUUUCACUAAGGAGAGAGAAAAGCCAUUCUAGGGUUUCAUCAGCUGCGUGAGAUAGAAAACAACACCAGUAGAGCACAUGGGGUUAGGGUUUCUUCCACAGGUUGAGCGAUGGCAGUGUUGGGGUUUCCUCCAGGGACGGCGAAGAGUUAGGGGUUUUUGCGACAGAUGGCAAAGAGUUAAAGUUUCCUCUGCUUUGAGCGUCUUUUUCUAUCACGAACUUCAAAUUAGGUGCAAAAAUCGAGUUUAGGAAAUAUUUCGGCUCCAUGACAGGUAUAAUACUGUUCAAAAUAGUGUGGAUCGCCUUAUUCCACCCCUUUGGGUGGAAAAAAGCGCAUUUUUUGGCGUAAAAUAUGGAUCGGCUAGUUGGCGGUACUAAGCUAUCCAUGAGCUGUUUUACUACUCAAACAAGAGAUAGGGGCCCAAUACCUA